rnacentral:misc_RNA from 1 species
GAUGAAGAACGCAGCGAAAUGCGAUACGUAAUGUGAAUUGCAGAAUUCAGUGAAUCAUCGAGUCUUUGAACGCACAUUGCGCCCCCUUGUAUUCCGGGGGGCAUGCCUGUCCGAGCGUCAUUGCUGCCCUCAAGCACGGCUUGUGUGUUGGGCCUCCGUCCUCCUCCCGGGGGACGGGCCCGAAAGGCAGCGGCGGCACCGCGUCCGGUCCUCGAGCGUAUGGGGCUUCGUCACCCGCUCUUGUAGGCCCGGCCGGCGCUUGCCGACACAUCAAUCUUUUUUCCAGGUUGACCUCGGAUCAGGUAGGGAUACCCGCUGAACUUAAGCAUAUCAAUAAGCGGAGGA